rnacentral:RNase_P_RNA from 1 species
CAAGGUGGCUGGGUAAUCGCUUUAUAUCACUUGUGUGUUAUUAAGAGGAAAGUCCGAGCUCUUCCGGGAAGGAUGCCCGUUAACGGCGGGGCGGGGUGAUCCGACGGAAAGUGCCACAGAAAAUAUACCGUCUUAAUUUAUUAGGAUAAGGGUGAAAAGGUGAGGUAAGAGCUCACCGCUUUAGUGGUAACACUGAAGGCACGGUAAACCCCAUCCAGAGCAAGACUAAACAGGGGUUUAGCCCGGAAAUGGCCCCGGGUUGGUCGCUUGAGUCAAAUGGUAACAUUUGACCUAGAUAGAUGGUUACCGCUUUUAAAGUGUGUAAGCAGUUUAAAAGUACAGAACUCGGCUUAUAGGCCACCUUGUUUA